UGUGUGGUAAGUUGUGGUGGCAAUAGCACAAACUAUGGCGCUAUUAGUAAUACCCUCUAUGUAUCUAUAUAUAUAUAUAUGUAUAUGUCUUAUCUAAGUCAAACAAAUUAUCCAUUAUUGAAUACAUAAGUCUAGAUUUUCAAUCUUUAAACCAUUGUGAAAACAUUCUUUUUCUGUGACUAGAAACAGAUUUAAUAUACCCAACCAUGUGUUGUAAUAUUUCCACAGGCUUACUCCAGUCUACAUUAUCAAUUCUACUCUGACUCGUUUUAUUCAUAAAAACUAUUCAAAAUAUAAAUAAAAUAAAAUAACCACCGUUAUCUGAAGGACUCCUGACACUCCCACGUGAAAAGUAAGUUCUAUCAGGGAGCUCACGUCAUCGUUACCAGAAGUAGUUCUGAUAUUGCCUCCUGUUGUGAUGUGGAAGUGAUGUGGAAGGGCCAUUGUUACGGUUACAACUCCCUCUCGCGGCGGAGACGACGACCACCAUCGGCAGGCAGCUAAAUUUCAACCCGACAGGCAGCUAAAUUUCUCGUUGCAGGGCUUCGCAAGUCGAUGCAAUCUUCGAAGCAAGCGAUAUACGUCGCAUCAACUCUAUCACACAUGCAGGCCUUUGUGGGUCCCCUUGUUGCCGUAAUUUGAUGUCCGGCUUGAGAAACCCUAAUCUGCAGUUUAGCAGCCAUGCCUGUUUUGGAAUGCAUCCACUCUCUCGGCAGAAUCUUGUUUAUCGACCAAGCAGACGAUCACGUUCGAUUGUCGACGGGCCACUGCCCAAAAGCUCUCUUAAUGACGCUUGCGAAGAACGUGUAUUGAUGGCUAGUACUCUGCGUUCAAUCUCUUCUGUUUAGGAAUCUAGUUGCUAGGAAUCAUCUGAGGACCAGAUUUGCAUGGAGAAGCAAAAGGGUUUGAGUGGCUGCCAUUGUAAGCAAGUGUCAAUGUGGAAUGUGAUCCUGGUGUGGGCUUGCUUGCUGUCCCUCGUUAGAGCGGAGUACAACUGCAGCAUGCCAAAUGUCAUCAAAGAAUUCAACUUCGAUUUCUUGAGAACAUUCCAGAAAACGUCUCUGGUGGUGAGAACAACUACUUUCGACGCACCAGAUAAACAACUAAGCUACACCAUGGUGAGCAAAGACACAAAUCGGAAAAUUACCAUGUGGGCAUGGUGCACCCUGAACGAUACGCAAAAAAUGUGCGAGGUAUAGUUUUCACCAGGAGCACCCAGAAAUCUGCUCUGAACAGCAAGUUGUCUAAACGCUAUAAUCAGAAGCAUUUAUGAAUUGUGCUGUGAAGAAUCUGGCUGCUGGGGUGGAAUUAACCUCCGCUCUGAGUGCUCAUUUCGCUACAAUGCAAGUGAUUACGUAAUACCCGACUGGACGGAUGAAGCUGAUAAAGAGACAGUUUGGGGGGACGUAGAUCUGCCAUGGUCAGGAGCUAAUACCAUCAUCCAAAGUCACAAACACUUUUCCUUCACCCUAACAGUAACGCUUUACUAUGCUUUUUCACAGAAUGUGAAAUCAGCCUCUCGCUUUUAACUGGUUGAAACAUCCGCACUGGCAACUUAUUAGAGCUGCCAGAUAAUAAUAAACCUCAAUAAGAUACAAAAUA